rnacentral:rRNA from 1 species
UCGAGAAUUUUUCACAAUGGGCGAAAGCCUGAUGGAGCGACGCCGCGUGGGGGAUGAAGGGCUUCGGCUCGUAAACCCCUGUCAUUUGCGAACAAGGGCGCCAACCUAACACGUUGUCGCUUGAUAGUAGCAGAAGAGGAAGGGACGGCUAACUCUGUGCCAGCAGCCGCGGUAAUACAGAGGUCCCAAGCGUUGUUCGGAUUCACUGGGCGUAAAGGGUGCGUAGGUGGCCGAUUAAGUCGGGUGUGAAAUCUCCGGGCUCAACCCGGAGGGUGCGCUCGAAACUGAUCGGCUAGAGGAUGGGAGGGAGACUGGAAUUCUCGGUGUAGCAGUGAAAUGCGUAGAUAUCGAGAGGAACACCGGUGGCGAAGGCGAGUCUCUGGACCAUUCCUGACACUGAGG